UACGGAGGGUGCAAGCGUUAUCCGGAUUCACUGGGUUUAAAGGGUGCGUAGGCGGAUAGGUAAGUCCGUGGUGAAAUCCUGCAGCUUAACUGCAGAACUGCCAUGGAUACUAUCUAUCUUGAAUGUCGUGGAGGUUAGCGGAAUAUGUCAUGUAGCGGCGAAAUGCUUAGAUAUGACAUAGAACACCUAUUGCGAAGGCAGCUAACUACGCGAAUAUUGACGCUGAGGCACGAAAGCGUGGGGAUCAAACAGG
rnacentral:rRNA from 1 species